GAGUCGUACUUGGGCUAAUGAGCUCGAACUGAUAAAAGAGUCUAAGAUUAACCUAGUCUGGCAGAGUCUCUUGAUUCGAACAGGCAAAGGAAGUGAAAUCGACAAAGGAUUGCUGAACAAGGUACUUAUAUGAUAACACCUUAUGAUUUUUCUAUCUGUGACUCUACUACCUGGAUAUUGGAUAUCAGAAGUCUAUGCAAAUUAUUGUAAUGACUUCAUGAUAGUAGAAAGUUUGAAAACAGCAAGAGUUUCCUGAAUAUUGGAGAUGGAAGUUAUGUUCCAAUCUUAGUUUUAGGAAUCGUCG
rnacentral:lncRNA from 1 species